AAGGAAGUCACUAUGUACAGCUCAUAUUUAGAAGUUCUGCUUCUCUAUUUUAGGGUGGAGUAUCUACAUAAUUUAUUUGGAAUUCUUCUGAAUAGGAUAUUUGUCUCUCUCCCACAUUUAUUUAUCCAAUCAUUUAUUUAUAUCAAUAAGGACUCAGGGAUAUUUAUUUUAUACUUUGGUUUAUAAUCCACCGCUAUUUCAUUUAUUUUAUUGCUCUGAUUGCUUCAGCUUUUCCCAUUGGGAGCUUUUUUAGGUGGCUCCUGUGCCUGAACAUUAUCUCCAUAAAAACGAUUUUUAAAAGUCCCUUACUUUUUGGGACUACAAGUCUCAUCUUGCAUGUUUCCUGCCUAGGUCCUAUAUCAACAACUUUUUGCAAAGA